GGUACUAGUUGGUGAGGGUAAUGGCUCACCAAGGCUGCGAUCCGUAACCGGUCUGAGAGGAUGAUCAGUCACACUGGAACUGAGACACGGUCCAGACUCCUACGGGAGGCAGCAGUGGGGAAUAUUGGACAAUGGGCGAAAGCCUGAUCCAGCCAUGCCGCGUGUGUGAAGAAGGUCUUCGGAUUGUAAAGCACUUUAAGUUGGGAGGAAGGGCAGUAAGUUAAUACCUUGCUGUUUUGACGUUACCGACAGAAUAAGCACCGGCUAACUUCGUGCCAGCAGCCGCGGUAAUACGUAGGUGGCAAGCGUUAUCUGGAAUUAUUGGGCGUAAAGCGCGCGUAGGCGGUAAAAUAAGUCUGAUGUGAAAGCCCCCGGCUCAACCGGGGAGGGUCAUUGGAAACUGUUUUACUUGAGUACAGAAGAGGAGAGUGGAAUUCCAUGUGUAGCGGUGAAAUGCGCAGAGAUAUGGAGGAACACCAGUGGCGAAGGCGGCUCUCUGGUCUGUUACUGACGCUGAGGUGCGAAAGCGUG
rnacentral:rRNA from 1 species